rnacentral:tRNA from 1 species
GAAGGUGUAGCUCAGUGGUAGAAUGCGUGCCUAGCAUGCACAACAUCCUGGGUUCAAUCCCCAGUACUUCCA